AAUCAACGCUGGCGGCGUGCCUCAGACAUGCAAGUCGAACGAUUAAAGCUCUCUUCGGAGAGUGUAUAGAGUGGCGCACGGGUGAGUAACACGUAAGUAAUCUACCCUCGAGUGGGGAAUAACAACCGGAAACGGUUGCUAAUACCGCAUAAUGCAGCGGCACCGCAAGGUGACAGUUGUUAAAGAUUUAUCGCUUGAGGAGGAGCUUGCGGCAGAUUAGCUAGUUGGUAGGGUAACGGCUUACCAAGGCUACGAUCUGUAACCGGUCUAAGAGGACGGUCGGUCACACUGACACUGAAUAACGGGUCAGACUCCUACGGGAGGCAGCAGUCGGGAAUUUUGGGCAAUGGGCGAAAGCCUGACCCAGCAACGCCGCGUGAAGGAUGAAGUAUUUCGGUAUGUAAACUUCGAAAGAAUAGGAAGAAUUAAUGACGGUACUAUUUAUAAGGUCCGGCUAACUACGUGCCAGCAGCCGCGGUAA
rnacentral:rRNA from 1 species